AAUAAGAUAAGUUUUCAGUUUUUUGAUAUAAUGAUUGAACUGUUCAUCUUAUUUGAAAUUUUUUUGUGAUUAAUAUUUUUAUUCUUACUAGAUGAUAAAACAUGAAUAGUGCUUUAUGUGUGACUAAUUUUUUAAAGUUUUUAUACAAAUUUUUAAAAUAAGACGAAUGGUCAAAGCGUUGGACAUAGAAAUCGAAAAAUGAAGUUAUU
rnacentral:pre_miRNA from 1 species